GAUGAACGCUGGCGGCGUGCCUAAUACAUGCUAGUCGAGCGAACGGACGAGAAGCUUGCUUCUCUGAUGUUAGCGGCGGACGGGUGAGUAACACGUGGAUAACCUACCUAUAAGACUGGGAUAACUUCGGGAAACCGGAGCUAAUACCGGAUGAUAUUUUGAACCGCAUGGUUCAAAAGUGAAAGACGGUCUUGCUGUCACUUAUAGAUGGAUCCGCGCUGCAUUAGCUAGUUGGUAAGGUAACGGCUUACCAAGGCAACGAUGCAUAGCCGACCUGAGAGGGUGAUCGGCCACACUGGAACUGAGACACGGUCCGGACUCCUACGGGAGGCAGCAGUAGGGAAUCUUCCGCAAUGGGCGAAAGCCUGACGGAGCAACGCCGCGUGAGUGAUGAAGGUCUUCGGAUCGUAAAACUCUGUUAUUAGGGAAGAACAUAUGUGUAAGUAACUGUGCACAUCUUGACGGUACCUAAUCAGAAAGCCACGAAUAACUACGUG
rnacentral:rRNA from 1 species